rnacentral:rRNA from 1 species
UACGUAGGGUGCAAGCGUUAAUCGGAAUUACUGGGCGUAAAGCGUGCGCAGGCGGUUUUGUAAGUCUGACGUGAAAUCCCCGGGCUUAACCUGGGAAUUGCGUUGGAGACUGCAAGGCUAGAAUCUGGCAGAGGGGGGUAGAAUUCCACGUGUAGCAGUGAAAUGCGUAGAGAUGUGGAGGAACACCGAUGGCGAAGGCAGCCCCCUGGGUCAAGAUUGACGCUCAUGCACGAAAGGCGUGGGGAGCAAACGAGGAUUAGACUACCCC